rnacentral:rRNA from 1 species
AGGCCUUUACUGACGCUAAAGCUCGAAGGUGCGGGUAUCGAACAGGAUUAGAUACCCUGGUAGUCCGCACGGUAAACGAUGGAUGCCCGCUGUUUGCGAUAUACUGUGAGCGGCCAAGAGAAAUCGUUAAGCAUCCCACCUGGGGAGUACGCCGGCAACGGUGAAACUCAAAGGAAUUGACGGGGGCCCGCACAAGCGGAGGAACAUGUGGUUUAAUUCGAUGAUACGCGAGGAACCUUACCCGGGCUUGAACUGCAGCGGAAGGAUACAGAGAUGUUGACGUCCUUCGGGACCGCUGUGGAGGUGCUGCAUGGUUGUCGUCAGCUCGUGCCGUGAGGUGUCGGCUUAAGUGCCAUAACGAGCGCAACCCCUUUCAUUAGUUGCCAUCACUUCGGGUGGGCACUCUGGUGAUACUGCCACCGUAAGGUGUGAGGAAGGUGGGGAUGACGUCAAAUCAGCACGGCCCUUACGUCCGGGGCUACACACGUGUUACAAUGGGUGAUACAGAUGGCCGGUGCAUGGCAAUGUGCAUCAAAUCUUGAAAGUCAUCCUCAGUUCGGAUUGGGGUCUGCAACCCGACCCCAUGAAGCUGGAUUCGCU